rnacentral:rRNA from 1 species
ACUCCUACGGGAGGCAGCAGUAGGAAUAUUGGGCAAUGGGCGGAAGCCUGACCCAGCCAUGCCGCGUGAAGGAAGACGGCCUUCUGGGUUGUAAACUUCUUUUAUACAGGAAGAAAAAGGCCAUGCGUGGCCAAUUGACGGUACUGUAUGAAUAAGCACCGGCUAACUCCGUGCCAGCAGCCGCGGUAAUACGGAGGGUGCAAGCGUUGUCCGGAUUUAUUGGGUUUAAAGGGUGCGUAGGCGGUACGUUAAGUCAGUGGUGAAAUCCCGCAGCUCAACUGCGGAACUGCCAUUGAUACUGGCGUACUUGAGUACAGACGAGGUAGGCGGAAUUUAUGGUGUAGCGGUGAAAUGCAUAGAUACCAUAAAGAACACCGAUAGCGAAGGCAGCUUACUAGACUGUGACUGACGCUCAGGCACGAAAGCGUGGGGAGCGAACAGGAUUAGAUACCCUGGUAGCGACUGAU